UACGUAGGGUGCAAGCGUUAAUCGGAAUUACUGGGCGUAAAGCGUACGCAGGCGGCUUUGCAAGACAGGUGUGAAAUCCCCGGGCCUAACCUGGGAACUGCAUUUGUGACUGCAUAGCUAGAGUUUGUCAGAGGGGAGUGGAAUUCCGCGUGUAGCAGUGAAAUGCGUAGAUAUGCGGAGGAACACCGAUGGCGAAGGCAAUCCCCUGGGCCUGCACUGACGCUCAGGCACGAAAGCGUGGGGAGCAAACAGG
rnacentral:rRNA from 1 species